GUGGGGAAUAUUGGACAAUGGGCGAAAGCCUGAUCCAGCCAUGCCGCGUGUGUGAAGAAGGUCUUCGGAUUGUAAAGCACUUUAAGUUGGGAGGAAGGGCAGUAAGUUAAUACCUUGCUGUUUUGACGUUACCGACAGAAUAAGCACCGGCUAACUUCGUGCCAGCAGCCGCGGUAAUACGAAGGGUGCAAGCGUUAAUCGGAAUUACUGGGCGUAAAGCGCGCGUAGGUGGGUUUGUAAGUUGGAGGUGACAUCCCCGGGCUCAACCUGGGAACUGCCUCCAAAACUGCAUGACUAGAGUACGGUAGAGGGUAGUGGAAUUUCCUGUGUAGCGGUGAAAUGCGUAGAUAUAGGAAGGAACACCAGUGGCGAAGGCGACUACCUGGACUGAUACUGACACUGAGGUGCGAAAGCGUGGGGAGCAAACAGGAUUAGAUACCCCUGUAGUCC
rnacentral:rRNA from 1 species